rnacentral:tRNA from 1 species
GCUCGGAUAGUGUAGUGGUUAUCACGCGAUGCUCACACCAUCGAGGUCCCUGGAUCGAUCCCAGGUCCGAGCA